CUUACUAGAAGCUGUGCUCCUGUUACAGCUUAUUGCCACAGAGCCAAGUGUGUCCCUCAGCCGUCAGCCUUCGAAAACCAGUCUCUCAGUAAGAAAAGAUUUUCCAAUGGGACAGAGCUUCUUUCUUGAUAAUCGGCGCCCACAUUGGGCUCAGGCCUGGCUGCUCGCAGUCUGUGCUCUACUUUGCCUCAAGUCCGGAGCAGAUGCUAUAACAUGCAGGUUUUGCUCCAAAUGGGACACAGAGGAGACAUGCACUCCAACUGAUCGUACAUGUACGGGAGACUACUGUAUGAUUGGAGAAGUUUUUGAAGCCGGCACGGAUGAAUUUAUUCAAAUGCAAAAAUUCUGUGGCACUUUUCCAUUAAAAUACUUGUGUGGACAGGAAUGGCAUGAAUAUCGCAGAGAGAAAAUGACAUGCUGUUAUUACGACUACUGUUCUGAUGAAUAUCCUUAAGUUGUUUUAACCCAUCAGCCUUUCCCUUCCCUCCUUCCCUCCUCAAUUUGCUAUUUUGUUUUGGAAGCUGCUUUGGGGGUGCAUUUGAAUGGAAAUACGAAGCGUUGUAAGAAUGCAAUGAUUCCAAUCCAAUCAAUCUAACCGCCACCGUCUGCUCAAAAGCUGCUGCUUUUGAGUGCGGAUCUCAGAAAGACACAAUAAAUAUUAAGCGAUUCUUUCUGUCCCUUCCCCACGGUGGAAGUCAGGCCUUCAUGAACUGUAAUCCAAAUGACAGACAAAAGACUUCUGUUGCCAUUUUGAUGGCAUGUACCAUAUUUUUCGCUCCAAAAGACGCACCUGACCGUAAGACGCACCUAGUUUUUAGAGGAGGAAAACAAGAAAAAAAAUAUUCUGAAUGAAACAGUGGAUGUAUGGUUUUUGUGGUUCAUGCUGUGGCCACAGACAUGUGAUCUGAUGGUGAAUUUGGGGACCCCAGGCAAGAAUCCUGAGGAUCCAUGUGGAUCCGUGCUUUGUAACCACAUUUUUGCACCACUGCAGCCCCAGGAAAUAGUGGGUGAAUGAUUUUUUUGGUGCAGGCUGGAGCCAUAGACAUGCUAUGUGAUCUGAUGAUGAAUUUGGGGUGACCCAAUGCAAAAAUCCCAAGGAGCCAUGGGCUUUUACCUCCCCCCUCCCAGGCAGCCUCCUUUAUCUCUAGCAUCCCUUAUCUCCCUCCCUGAUCUCUUGCAGAUUAGCGGCUUUGUUUCAACACCCCCUUCCCUCUUGUUUGCCUUAGUGUCUUUUCCUUAGCUGGAGCAGUUUUUUGCUCCUCCUUUUCUUCUAAUUUCUCUCCUCAUUGUUUUAGUCUUCCUGUCUCCCCCCUUUGCAAGUUUGCUGUCUUUACCUCCCCCCUCCCAGGCAGCCUCCUUUAUCUCUAGGGUCCCUUAUCUCCCUCCCAAUCGCUUGCUCAUCAGCUCCUUCCUUUCAACACCCACUUCCCUCUUUCCAAAAAAAAGCAUGAUCUGCUUUUUGCCCCUGGGCAAUUCGGCGCCAGGGACCACACAUUCACUCCAUAAGACGCACAGACAUUUCCCCUUACUUUUUAGGAAGAAAAAAGUGUGUCUUAUGGAGCAAAAAAUAUGGUACUGUAAUCUCUUGAGGGGCUUUGGGUGGAAGGGCAAAUCCGCAGGCUCUACUACCAAUACGCCACCCAAAUGACCUUCCACAAAUAGGAGGACGGCUGUGCCUUGUGGGGAGACUUCUGAAGGCUCCCACACAUGUUUUAGAUCAAUUAUUUUCCAGAGUCCUGAAUGCAGAGGGAGUCCCCAUGAUCACAGGAGAGCCUCCGCUUCACAGUGCACAGUUCCCAUCAUAAGAACACCUGGUUAUCCCUAGCUGUGAAUGAAAUGCUCCUUCAGUUCUCAGCUGUGCUCCUCCUCUGUGCUCUAGAGAGGAGGACCAUUCACUUCUGCCCACUCAUUUAUGCAUUCCUUCAUUCUCUGGAAGUUUUCAAAAUAUGCCCCACCCCCACCUUCAAAUGCACAAUUGUCUUAGAGAUUAGGGUGGGGUGGGAUGUUCCUUGGUGAGUUCAUAGUUGCCUGCUAAGCAUUGCUUUACACAGCCCACAUUUACCAGCCCCACACCUGACAAUGAGGCCUAAAAUGCCUAAUUAUGACCAGAGACUUGAGGACUCCUUGCUUGAACUGGGCAAAUUACAGUAGAUGUUGGAAAUAUGAGUCUGUGGUAGGGAUGGUGGCAAAGUUCAUUAAAAGGAAAUGAGAGUGAGCUUAGAUUGCAUUAUGUUGCAUUCUCGGGAGUAGAAUGCCACAUGACUUCUCAUUUUUUAGGUUGUGGUACCAAUUAAAAAAAAAUUCUUUUCAGGCCGAUAUUCCCAUUGCUGUUCUCGAUCUUAUAAAUUGACUAUCUCUCUUAUAUAUUGUUCUCUCUUUUCUUAAUAUUUAUAUCAAAGUUUAAAAGUUAAGUGGCAAUCUAUAUUCUGUUUGGUUCCCAUGUAAUGAUUGUAUCUUGAUUUUUCCUUGAAAACACUGUCCCUGAAAGUUGCAAUAAAUAUUUAAGUAAUGGA